rnacentral:rRNA from 1 species
GACAGAGGGUGCAAACGUUGUUCGGAAUUACUGGGCGUAAAGCGCGUGUAGGCGGCCCUGUAAGUCGGAUGUGAAAGCCCACGGCUCAACCGUGGAGGGUCAUUGGAAACUGGGGGACUUGAGUGCAGGAGAGAAGAGUGGAAUUCCACGUGUAGCGGUGAAAUGCGUAGAGAUGUGGAGGAACACCAGUGGCGAAGGCGACUCUUUGGCCUGUAACUGACGCUGAGGCGCGAAAGCCAGGGGAGCAAACGGG